rnacentral:rRNA from 1 species
AACGAACGCUGGCGGCAUGCCUAACACAUGCAAGUCGAACGAGACCUUCGGGUCUAGUGGCGCACGGGUGCGUAACGCGUGGGAACCUGCCCUUAGGUUCGGAAUAACUCCCCGAAAGGGGUGCUAAUACCGGAUAAUGUCUUCGGACCAAAGAUUUAUCGCCUUUGGAUGGGCCCGAGUUGGAUUAGCUAGUUGGUAGGGUAAAAGCCUACCAAGGCGACGAUCCAUAGCUGGUCUGAGAGGAUGAUCAGCCACACUGGGACUGAGACACGGCCCAGACUCCUACGGGAGGCAGCAGUGGGGAAUAUUGGAAAAUGGGCGAAAGCCUGAUCCAGCAAUGCCGCGCGAGUGAUGAAGGCCUUAGGGUUGUAAAGCUCUUUUACCCGGGAUGAUAAUGACAGUACCGGGAGAAUAAGCUCCGGCUAACUCCGUG